rnacentral:tRNA from 1 species
GAAGGUAAGGCUUAGUGGUACAGUGUGUGCUUAACAUGCAUGAAGUCCUGGGUUUAAUCCCCAGUACUGCCA